GUAGUGCUGUCUUGCAGAUUUGUUUUAAAAUAGCUGAAUAUGAUGUGCGAUGCGUUAUCGAAAUCGUUGCAUCUGUCACAUCUGUUAUUGCUUAUUACGUGCAUUUUGUUUAAAGUAUAAUUGUCAAAAGCGUUACCGCUCAUAAAUCUGUUUAUGAUUUUUAGCGUUGUUGGCAAGAGUACGCGGUACCCCCGCUGUUUGUCACUAGCGAAGUCGGGGUACUUCUUGUCCAAGUCCUCCGGAAUUAAUCUCUGUAUUUAAGAUGUGGCUACACAUCUACAGUGAAGGUACCGUGUGGAGGAGCAUUUUUGGCAGCCAAGUCCACGAAAUCGUUUUGGGGUAUGCCAGUGUGUCUUGCUGUUACGGACCUGGUUUUUCGAUGGGGCAAGGCCGGCUAGCCAGUCGAUCUCAUGGUGGGGUUCUUCCCAGCCCUCAGUCCGCACAACAGCCCAGCUGAUCGGCCAUCUCAGUCCGACGAAAUCAUAACAAGACAAAAUCUGUUACGGACCUGGUUUUUCGAUGGGGCAAGGCCGGCUAGCCAGUCGAUCUCAUGGUGGGGUUCUUCCCAGCCCUCAGUCCGCACAAUAGCCCAGCUGAUCGGCCAUCUCAGUCCGACGAAAUCAUAACAAGACAAAAUGUAAACAAAAUAAAAUGUAAACAAAAAUAAAAUAAAUAAUGUUACAAAUUGGACGUUACUGGAAACUUUACUUGCGCUGAACAAAUUGGAGUUUAGUGUUUAUAAUUUUAUUAUUAUUAACUAUAAACAUUCAUCUUCACUCCUUGCAUUAAAUAUCUUCAGUUAAUUUAAUUUCAUUUUAUUUGCAUCCCAUUGCUACAGCUGCGAUGCCAAAUUCA